UCCCCGACUGAUGGCGGCCGCCGGCUCG
rnacentral:sRNA from 1 species